GUCUAAGGAAAGAACUGCACGAAUGC
rnacentral:sRNA from 1 species